AGGUGUCGAAAGACUUAAUAGGGAAGUCCGGUAUAGUCCGGAGCGGUCCCGCCACUGUAGCAGCGAGUGAAUCUGUAUAUAUGUCACUGGGGGAAACCCUGGGAAGGCGCAGAGGAGCAAUGACCUGGAGCCAGGAGAACUGCCUGAUUGA
rnacentral:ncRNA from 1 species